rnacentral:rRNA from 1 species
UUGAACGCUGGCGGCAGGCCUAACACAUGCCAGUCGAGCGGAUGAAGGGAGCUUGCUCCUGGAUUCAGCGGCGGACGGGUGAGUAAUGCCUAGGAAUCUGCCUGGUAGUGGGGGAUAACGUCCGGAAACGGGCGCUAAUACCGCAUACGUCCUGAGGGAGAAAGUGGGGGAUCUUCGUACCUCACGCUAUCAGAUGAGCCUAGGUCGGAUUAGCUAGUUGGUGGGGUAAAGGCCUACCAAGGCGACGAUCCGUAACUGGUCUGAGAGGAUGAUCAGUCACACUGGAACUGAGACACGGUCCAGACUCCUACGGGAGGCAGCAGUGGGGAAUAUUGGACAAUGGGCGAAAGCCUGAUCCAGCCAUGCCGCGUGUGUGAAGAAGGUCUUCGGAUUGUAAAGCACUUUAAGUUGGGAGGAAGGGCAGUAAGUUAAUACCUUGCUGUUUUGACGUUACCAACAGAAUAAGCACCGGCUAACUUCGUG